AGAGCGAACGCUGGCGGCAGGCCUAAUACAUGCAAGUCGAACGGAUCCUUCGGGAUUAGUGGCGGACGGGUGAGUAACACGUGGGAACGUGCCCUUUGGUUCGGAACAACUCAGGGAAACUUGAGCUAAUACCGAAUGUGCCCUUCGGGGGAAAGAUUUAUCGCCAUUGGAGCGGCCCGCGUCUGAUUAGCUAGUUGGUGAGGUAAAGGCUCACCAAGGCGACGAUCAGUAGCUGGUCUGAGAGGAUGAUCAGCCACACUGGGACUGAGACACGGCCCAGACUCCUACGGGAGGCAGCAGUAGGGAAUCUUGGACAAUGGGGGAAACCCUGAUCCAGCCAUGCCGCGUGAGUGAUGAAGGCCUUCGGGUUGUAAAACUCUUUCGCGCACGACGAUAAUGACGGUAGUGCGAGAAGAAGCUCCGGCUAACUUCGUGCCAGCAGCCGC
rnacentral:rRNA from 1 species